GGAAAAACUAUUUUGUGUGGUUUUCAAAGCAAGUAAAGUGGCCAAAAGCACUUAUGUUUCUUAAGCCCCAGAACAACCACUAGGGCCCUCAAUCUUUCAUUGAGUCUUUUCCAAAUCAGUUACUUCUGGAAUUUGGUCUCUUUAGUCUUCCUCAGCUUUUCUCUCGGUGUAGUUGGAGGUCUAUAAAGUCAUCCCAAACCUCUGCACCCAACUAAACUUAUUGGCGCUAUCUUCCAAUUCAGCCAUUCGGAGGUCUUGGCGGUUGAAACUUCAAGACAGGAAUUUGGAGUGAGGACACAGUUCAUUCCAUACACAAAGACAGGAGCGGCUUCAUCCAGAACCCGGAAGGUCUGUCCCUCUACAGAAACCCAGAUCUAAUCGUGUCGCAUCCCACACCAGAUGGGAUCUCACUAUGUUGCCCAGGCUAGAGUGCAUUGGCUAUUCACAGACGAUCAUGAUGCAAUCAUAGUGCACCACAUCCUCAAACUCCUGGACUCAAGUGAUCCUCCCUCCACAGCCUCCCAAGUAGCUGAGACUGCAGGCACACGCCACUGCACCCAGCCCUGGACUAUUAACUUUUAUAUUUUUUAUAUCCAUAGAGUCAGGCAGCUUCUGAUGCAUAGUAACCAUGUAAUAAAUGUUGAAUGAAUAAAUGUGAAUGACCAUACCCAUACAUAGACAUAUGCAUUCAUAUAAAUCUCAGCUUCUCAUCUCAUUCUCCCAAGCAAUGCUAACAGCCUUGACAGCUUUUGACAAACUGAUUCACAACAAAGCCUUGAUUUUCCCAUCCAUGAAGUGGGGCUAAAAUAUGCCUAAAUCUACGGAUUGCCUUUAGAAUUCAGUCUCCUUCAAAAUUUCAAACUAAGGGUCUCACCCCCAUUAGCGCAUCACGAAG
rnacentral:lncRNA from 1 species